GACGAACGCUGGCGGCGUGCCUAAUACAUGCAAGUAGAACGCUGAAGGAGGAGCUUGCUUCUCUGGAUGAGUUGCGAACGGGUGAGUAACGCGUAGGUAUCCUGCCUGGUAGCGGGGGAUAACUAUUGGAAACGAUAGCUAAUACCGCAUAAGAGUAGAUGUUGCAUGACAUUUGCUUAAAAGGUGCAAUUGCAUCACUACUAGAUGGACCUGCGUUGUAUUAGCUAGUUGGUGGGGUAACGGCUCACCAAGGCGACGAUACUUAGUCGACCUGAGAGGGGGGUCGGCCAAACUGGGAAUGGAGAAACGCUCAGACUCCCUCGGGAGGGAACAGGAGGGGAACUUCGGCCAUGGGCGGAAGUCUGACCGAGCAACGCCGCGGGGGUGGAGGAAGGUUUUCGGUCGGUAAGCCCUGUUGAAUGGGAAGGACGAGUGGUAGAGUGGAAAGUUCACGCUGUGACGGUACCUUACCAGAAAGCGACGGCUAACUACGUG
rnacentral:rRNA from 1 species